rnacentral:antisense_RNA from 2 species
UGUAAUGGCGGCUGUGUGCGGGACGCCUUCGGGCGAGCCGAUUUGGCGUUAUCGGUUGACCAAGCCUGUGCACAGCCGCCACCCAU